AUAUGCACUUGGCAAAAAGUGUUGUCAAUUUUAUGACUUAACCAGCAUACGGGAUAUUGUUAUAAAUGAAGGAAUCACAAUGCACAGUAUUAUAUUUUAUCUAGUACUGCUACUACGUGGAAGUGAUGCUCAGACAGAUCCACAAAUUUUAGUUCCAUUGUUUAAGCACUCUUGGCCACCAUUAAGAUUCCUUCAACACAUAUACAGAGAAUCACAGGCUGUCAUUU